GACAUUGACAUUACGUUAAUGAGGCCCUGCCACCGUCUGAAUCUGCCUGGGGAGGGAUACACCUCUCCUCAGAUCUGGACGCAUCGCCGAGGUCAGUCCUGCACCGUCUUCCAGCAUCGUUAGCCGGCUCUUUUUUCAUACUUUCCAUCAUCGUCAAGAGCGACCACUGAAGCCAAGGGCCUGGCGAAGUUAAUAGAAACUGAUUCGCCGCAUGAAGGGUAUGGCCGAUCAACGGCCGUCCUUGCCGGUAUCAAAGCGAAGCUGCCGAAAGACUGGAAAGGAAAGGAAGGGACAAGGCGCAAUUAAAAUGUAUGAAGUGCGACGUAGAAAAAGAGACCAAUUGAAGUGAAGGUCGGCCACGCGUCCUCGGGACUUUUCCUGGAUAAUCAGGACGGAUCAGCUUCUUUUAACGGGUGUUCGAUGUGUAACCGGCAGGUGCGGAGACGCGUCUUUUUGCUCGUCGAAAAUUCCGCUUCCUCAAGGUCUCACUUCCUGACGAAACUCUCUUUGUGCCGGGUUCAUGUAAGCCCGCAAAUAUUUCGCGAGAAGAUAUUUUCGAGAAGCUAAAAGAAGAUUUUAUCUUUUCACUCGAAAUUAAGGUGAUUCUUAUCACUUCGGAUAAGACGAUAAGAAAAUAAAAAAACAUUAUUUCCUCCUUCUGUGGAAAUUAAGACAUAUUAAUUACGGCGUAUAUCGAAAAAAAAUAUUUUCUAGACAUUUUUCACAAUUCUAUUUAAAGGGGCUUUCAGUUUCAGAAGACUUGAAACUCGCAGAGCUACAUCUUGUUAAUAUUUAUUUAAGCGAUUCAUAUCUGUUCUAUUUAUUAAAUAGAAAUGUAGUAAAUCGUAACACAAGUAUUACAUUAAUUCAUUAUACGCCAACGUAACGUAACGUUCGUUGAGCAACGCCCGAGUGGUAAGACAUAUUUGCACAUAAUGGCGAAUUGUUAACCUUAUGAUUCGCGCGUACAUAAAUGCGAAUUAACACAACUUGUUAAUUACUAAAAUCAUUUUAACUAAUUUAAUAAAUAAUUAAUGAGCAAUCAUAACUAGGUCACUUACGAAAAUCGAUGUUGGGAUCAUCGCGGUGUGCAAUAUAAAAAUUAAGAUAUAUUUAAAAUAUAUUCGAAAUUAACAAGAGUCUUUUAUGCAAAAACACAAAUACAUCUACAAUACGUAGUAUCUACGACACAUAUGAUUCUGUAAUAAAUGACGCUGUCCGGAAUGUUAUG